UAAAACUCCUAAUCUAAAUUUGUUUGGUUUUUUUUUUAAGUAACUUGUGAUGUGUUUUGUUUGGUGUAACUUAGGACCAGACGAAGCCAGACAAGUUGUUGCAUUCCAAUGCUGCUCUCCAAUUAUCAAUGGCCAUCGAAACCAACAGGAGUCAGGAAAAAAGAAAGAUUUGUCACACUCACAGAUGCCCAUUCCCUAGAGUGAGGAUCAAAUGAGCCUGGAAUAUGCUGCUGUUGUGAGACAGGGUAGUGUGGAACAGAUUUUUCAUCUUUAGUCUUUACCAUCAUUUGUGAUUAACUUGGUGUUUGCCGUUGCCUUGUAGUACGUAGCCUAGUAGUGUCCACAAUGAAUAGAAACACAUUCUGAAUAA